rnacentral:rRNA from 1 species
GACGAACGCUGGCGGCGUGCUUAACACAUGCAAGUCGAACGGUAAGGCCCUUCGGGGUACACGAGUGGCGAACGGGUGAGUAACACGUGGGUGAUCUGCCCUGCACUUCGGGAUAAGCCUGGGAAACUGGGUCUAAUACCGGAUAGGACCACUGCCUGCAUGGGUGGUGGUGGAAAGCUUUUGCGGUGUGGGAUGGGCCCGCGGCCUAUCAGCUUGUUGGUGGGGUGAUGGCCUACCAAGGCGACGACGGGUAGCCGGCCUGAGAGGGUGACCGGCCACGCUGGGACUGAGAUACGGCCCAGACUCCUACGGGAGGCAGCAGUGGGGAAUAUUGCACAAUGUGCGCAAGCCUGAUGCAGCGACGCCGCGUGAGGGAUGACGGCCUUCGGGUUGUAAACCUCUUUCAGCACCGACGAAGCGCAAGUGACGGUAGGUGCAGAAGAAGGACCGGCCAACUACGUGCCAGCAGCCGCAGUAA